rnacentral:tmRNA from 1 species
GGGGUUGACAUGGAUUUGACGGCGAGAUGAAAUGGUACGUAAGCACGCGGAGACUCGUCGGCUAUCUCCAUAAUCAUAGUGGACAUAAAAUUUAAUUGGCGAAAACAAUUACGCUCUCGCUGCCUAAUCGAAGUACAGUAGAUUACUGGCUUUAUUCCGUCACUAGGUGAUGGAACGAGACAUCGCUCCAAGG